rnacentral:rRNA from 1 species
ACAACACCCGAAGCCGGUGGGGUAACCGCAAGGAGCCAGCCGUCGAAGGUGGGGUAGAUGAUUGGGGUGAAGUCGUAACAAGGUAGCCGUAUCGGAAGGUGCGGCUGGAUCACCUCCUUUCUAAGGA